CAUCCAGUGUGACAGCCCCUCGCCACGGGGGGCUAUUGAGCACUUAAAAUGUGGCUACCGUAACCAAGGAACUGAAUUGUUUAUUUUAGUCCACUUUAAUUUGUGUUGUUGUAUUGAACAGCACGGUUCCGAAAGGCCUGGAUUUUAUUUUCUCUGGGUCCUAGUUUUCAAACUUGGCUGUGCUGUGGUUACCAGGGCAACACCUUCUGGAAGCCCAGUGGAUGGGGGAGGGGAGCUCUCUGGAGUUCUUCCCCCUUCUCUUCUUGCUCUGAGGCCCGAGGACCAGCCCAGUUUGGGGAAGAACACAGAAGCUCUGCUCUAUGUCAUCUCCACUCUGGGACCCACACUGAUGGAGCAGCCACUUUCUGGAGCCUUGCUGGUCAUUGAAGCAGAGGGAAGGAAGGAAUGGUGAAAUGUGCACUAGCUAUGAAAAACUUUGGCUUGGACUCCCUCCCCCUCCUCCUCCUCCUCCUCCUUCUUUUUAAGUAGGCUCCAUGCCCAACGUGGAGCCCAACUCCGAUGAACCUAAGAUCAAGACCUGAGCUGAGAUCAAGAGUUGGACACUUAACUGAUUGAGCCACCCAGGUACCCCUGGCCUAGACUCACUUCUGAUCACAACUCACUGGCAAGAAUUAGUCGCAUGCCCCCCCCCCCCACAAGGAG